rnacentral:lncRNA from 1 species
CUUAAACCUCAAUUGUCCUUGAUCCAACCCUUCGAUCAAGCUCAAACUCAAAGCACUUAUUGAACACAUAUAAACCUAAAAACCUUCAAAAUUUCACCUAUAUAUCUACUGCAAAACUUAUAAAAUUCUCCAAAAAAUAUCUCCCAUUUUAUUUCAUAAAUCCAGAGUCACUUAAAACAAACCCCAAUUAUGAAAAGCUCAUAC